UUGCAUUCUGGGAUCUGAGAACAGCCAUUCUCCAUCUUGCUUUUUUACGGCAAAAGAUAAAUGUUACCAUGCAGAUACAUGUUUAGGUUGUUAUUAAACCAUUUAUUUCCAAAUAAGAGUUUCGUAUUCAAUAUUGUCAUGCAGUCUGGGCUGAUUCCUUGAGUGUGCGUUUUUGUGGCGUGUUUGAAAGACUUUCAGGUGCUUGCACUCGUGUAUCCGAUGCUUUAGGGGUGUCGGGUCUUUGGUGACUGCUACUGAACUCUACCGGCGUCUGAAAUGGGUCGUUCACGGAGCCGCAGCUCCUCCCGCUCCAAGCACUCAAAAAGCAGCAAGCAUAAUAAAAAGCGAAGCCGCUCUCGAUCAAGGUCCCGGGACAAAGAGAAGAAGAUGCGCUCGAAGUCCCGAGAGGCCAAAAGAAGUCGCAGGAGAGAAUCGCGCUCUCGGUCCAGAUCAAACACGGCCACGUCUCGUCGUGAAAAGGACAGACCCGUCACGCUGCCGGAGAAAAUCGAUAUUUUCGGGAGGGCGUUAAGUAAGAGGAGUGCUGUAGACGAAAAGCAGAAGAAAGAGGAAGAAGAGAAGAAAGUCGAAAUGGAAAGACAGAGGAGAAUUCGACAGUUGGAGAUAGAGGAGCGUCUGAUUGAGGAGGAGACGGCACGGCGCGUAGAGGAACUUGUAGCCAAACGCGUGGAGGAGGAACUGGAAAAGCGAAAGGAUGAGAUUGAAAGAGAAGUGUUGCGACGGGUGGAGGAGGCCAAGCGCAUCAUGGAGAAGCAGUUGCUAGAGGAGCUGGAGAGACAGAGACAAGCAGAACUGGCUGCUCAGAAAGCUCGGGAGUUGCUUGCGGUUAGAAGUGAUGAAAGUUGUUCACGCUUCUGUUCCUCCUAUACACCAUUUGAGCUGACUGCUCCUCAGACGGCACUUCACUGUGUGGCUUUUUUCUGAGAGUGAGAUGUCAGUAGAGAUGUACCCAGAACACAGGUCAGUGGUUUGAAAGAACCUCCCUUGCUGUUUGGUGGUAUAUUGUUCAGUUAAAAAAAAAAAAAGAACGUAUUCCCAAUUUGACCAUGACUCUUAUAGGAAAUGUUUCUUGGUGACUGAAGAACAAGUUUACUGUAGGUUGAGCCGUGUCUGGUGAGCUGAACGUAUCUUCAUUAUCUACUCAUUUGCGUGUUUUUUCAAGUUGUGCAAGUUAUUUUUGGGAAUAAUUAUGUUGUUUGUCACUACAGUUCAACUGAAGCUGUUUGCCUUCGCAGGAGGAAGAGAAAUCAAAGCGUGAAGAACUGGAAAAGAUUCUGGUGGAGAACAAUCGCAAGAUAGCCGACGCUCAAGCUAAACUGGCAGAGGACCAACUACGAAUAGUUGAAGAGCAGAGGAAAAUACAUGAGGAGCGUAUGAAGCUGGAACAAGAGCGACAGAAACAGCAGAAAGAAGAACAGAAGAUCAUUUUGGGAAAAGGGAAGUCGAGGCCUAAACUGUCUUUCUCUUUAAAGGCAUCUGAGUGAUGAAAACAAUGUGGCCAGGAUUACUCCAGACUUUCUCCAGACCACUUCUUCAUGUGAGGCAUUUGAUCUGCAACACAAGUUGUUCUUCGUAGGUCUCAUGUGGUGUGUUUCAAAUUCUAAGAACAAUGGGAACAAUCAGUUUGUCAAAUACCCUUCAGUCUUUUUUCCUCUUUCACCUGUCUGUUUUGUAUUACUGACUCUUGUAUAGAUAACCACCACUCGUCCUCCAGGUAAUCUCUGCAAACUCAUUUGGCGAAUAGUACGAGUAGGGUUAAAAAAAUGUCUGGGCUGACCUGCUCAUCCAAAUAUACGUCACGGUUUUAAGUUUCAAUAAUUCAAGACCUCGACAGAUUCUCCUAGCUGAUUUGAUUGAAGUAUUUUUUUUUUAAAUAAGUUUAUUCAUAGUAUAAAGUAAUUCGAAUGAAAGUUUGACUGGGAAAUAGCUUGAAGUCCAUCAUAUUUGAAUAGCACAAACCUAGGCCAGAGUUAAAUGGUAAUCAGUCCAACCAAGAAGUUUCAUAAAACAAGAGUAAACUCCUUUUAUCAUUUUUUACUUCCACAUUAAUAAUUGUACAUUCAAGACUUGAUGCUGUAAUAAAGGGUACCUGGUUGUUGCAUGUCAGUGAGCUGUGCAUAUGUUAGUGAUGAGAUAGUUUUAGAAGUGAUGGAGUGAAAGGUUGCUGAUUGGCCAGAAUUUGUUUGUGGUUUAAUAUUUGACCCACUUAUCAAGGAUAUGUCAAGAAUCUCCAAUAAAUCCAUGAAAACGU